rnacentral:lncRNA from 1 species
GACACACGCACAUCUGCCUAAAAGUAUAACGGGAAGACCAGCACUCUACACGCAGCCUAUCCGUUUCUAAAAAAGCACCACCAGUGGUCCCUUCUUCUGAAAAGGUGUGUAGUUUGGCAACCAGGAAAGGAAAGUGCAGAGGAAAUUAGGGCUGCGGUAAGAGAGUUUUUUCUGAGCGCAGCAUAGACGUGGAAGUUUGCAAAACCAGGGACACAAAACUGGUAUAAAUGAUGCUGAGUAGUGUUCUCAAUAUUCGUGUACCCGUUUUAAUUUUCGCACGUGUGUAAAUUCGGGCACCAGCAUUUUAAAAGCGGCCCAAUUUCAAUCCGUAGUUAUCUCGCUUUUCCAUCGUGCACGUGUCUGACGGUUAUCGUUCGUUCCUGGCGCGCCGAGGUAAGGGUUGUCGUUGGAGACAUUUAUUAAACUUACUUGGCUGGCGCUCGGGGCGGCUCCUGUAUCGCCCUGUCGUAGCUCGGAGCAGCACAUUGCAUUCCGUGGACUGUAAUGGGCUAGGCCCGUCCCUAGUGGGUGGCUCCACAGCUCAAUUUCUGGUCAGCGGCUUCUGCUUGCGCAGCCGCUAUCAACAUUCAAAUUUUUCAGCAAACGAAACUAGUGUUUUGUUAUAUGUUAUGGUGAAUGUGCAAAUUACUUUUUUAGGGUAGACCAUGUUAUCAGUAGUGUUCUAUGGUUGUGUUAGGUGGUGAUGUCAGUUGUGGGCUGAAAUUUCGAAUAUUAGAUGUCACGAUCCACGGAAAAAUUCCUUUUAGCCAACGUAUCGUUGAAAUCGUUACGUUUGUCGCACGAAAUUAUUCCACUUUUUGACGGACAAAAUGAGGGAGCUGGACUAUGGGAUAACGGAUGUCGAUUGUAACAACGUGGUUACAAAUAUUUUUUCCAGGCGCCUUUGAACUGCCUUGGCUUUCUGCGUGUCUCUUUCCCUGUUCAAUACUGCCGGAGAUGAGAGAGGUUUUUAGCAUGGUUAAGGAAAGGGGGCGUAGCUGAUGUUCCCUGCGUACGGCGCCCGUGUUUUUUUUUUACGUCGGUUGGAGCAGAUGAAAAAGGGUGGUAGAAGAGAUCGGAUUAUGGAAUGCAGUCGUGUUGGGGCCUGUGUGCGAAGAGAGGUGACACGAGAGGUACAUAGCUGCGGUUACUGGUAGUCUGCAGUAGUUUUCACUCUGGUGAACGCUUCAGAAUUUUUUCCCCCUUUUCCUGUAUAGAAUUGCAUUCCGUGUAGUAGUCCUUGGAGAACUACAAAUUUUCACCCAGUUUCUAAUGUAAACUCUUCCGAUCACUCCGAGAUUCUGCGUGUCCGUCCCCACUACAAACAUACAUUCAGAUGCCUUUACUGAUGUCGGUUUGCAAUAAAGUAAACCGGUUCAGAAAACGCAGAUAGUUCAGUCACACGCAGCAGCGACAUUGUCGGAUGGAACAGACCAAACAGUGAAAUUCCGCCACCAUUCGAUCAGUUUCACCUCCACGACGUCUGUGCCGUCAUGGAAGAAACGCGCCGUUAGUCCUCAUCGACUGAGGGAAGGAAAGAGGGGAGUUUCUAGUGCUUUGCAGCUGGUUUCCCUUUUAUGGGGACUCACACUGUCUGCGUAGCGUGCUGGGGAAAACGGCUGAGGUCGCAUGCUGCUGGCGGUACUACAAGGUUCUCCUAACCCAGUAGUACGGAUACACUCAUGUGGGAGAGCAUUUUUUUUGUCUUCCUACGGAAAACGGAGCCUCUUGAAGGCAGGAGCCUUUUGAUGACGUGUCUACAGCGACUCAUGAAUUCGUCAUCAUGAAAAUGGGUAGAUUUUCAUAUUUGAUUACACUAGACAGUCACUAGUCUGUGCAGCAACUGUCGUGUUUAUCUGGAAAAGACAUUACAUUCGUAGCCUGCUUUCUCUCGAAUGUGGCCCUUGUACUUCAAGGGGGAGAGCUGCGGCUGUGAGGCAAGCGAAUUUCUCGCCGUGUCGGUCGGAUAGUGCAGUACCCUAAAGGUAGAAAACAACGCAACUGUAGAUUAACUUAAGGAAGGCAUUUGAAGUGUGCAUUCCCUUUCCACAUAAUGACCGUUUCUGUUUAACCACGGUCGAGGGACACAAUGAAGAAUGCGUCUUCCUGCCCCUUACGAGAGAGCAGAGGAAGCCGAGCGGCUGUAGAUCUCGGUUUCAUUUGUCAUCGAGAGACAUGAAGUACUCUUCAUACUUCUAAUUUCUUGUGCAUUCCGACAUUGAACUGUUUCUUGAUAUGAGGAAACAGAGAAUGACAGCAGGGAAAUGGGAAGGUGGGUGCACAUCUGACUUCUCCCUCCACAUUAUUCUCGUCGUCGAUUUUUCCUUUGUCCAAUUUUUUUUAAACUGCCUCCCUUAUUGCGCACCUUCGAU